UUCGAUCCUCUUUGAAUCUUUCAUAUUCGACCAAUCGAUCAUCGUCAACAUUCGUUCAUCUUCCAAUCGUCGAUCAUCUUUGAUUUCAGCGACUGUAACAGAGGUUGUAUGGUUUUGCCAUAUGCUUAUCAUAAGGUUUAUUUUGUACCCUACUGGUGAGUACUUCGUUUAAAUUAUCACAAUUUUUUUGUGGCUUUUAAUGUUAUUACUCUUUUUCACUGUUAUCUUUCUUCAUAUCACAGUCAAUGCUUGUUUUCUUUAAUCCAAUCAAGUUCGGGAUCACAUUCACAUUUGGGAAUUUACUUUCACUUGGGGGGUUCAUAACAAACUAUUGACACUUAUAGCAAUCAUUUUAGAGUUUGGUGCACUAAUUUGUUUUUAUUUAAGGAAGUGUGAGGCAAUUCAGAUACUCUUGGAAACAAAUGCUCUGGACACCACCAGCUCUGCCUUCUGCAUGGAAUCCAUCUCAAAAGGGUGUUCAGCACAGUGCCAUGGAGUUGAGGCCUCAACUCUCAGCUACUAGCUCAUACACUCUAUGGUUGCAGGUU